UCGUGGCAGCUGUACGGGUUCUGCCUCAGCCAGUGUCCGUGGCGCAUCUGGAAGGGGUUCUCGGCUGUUUGGUGGUACUCUGGUGGCGGGGAGAACCAGCAAGAUUGCAAUGUGUCCGACGGCAGCUUGAGUGAGGAACGGAAGGAGGCGGCGUCAUCGCGAGAUUUUACGACAUGUAAGCCAGUCCAAGGGGUGUCCAAACUUUUUGCAAGGAGAGCCGGAUUUAAUAAAGUGAAGAGGCCCGGGGGCCAAUAGAUUUUUCAGACAUUUUUUAACGACAAAAAUUUCAUGCAAAUACACACUUUUAUAAAACAAAUUUCAUUGUCACAAUUGUCUUUAUUUUUCAAAUGACAAAAUAACCAAAUAUAAGCCAUUCAGGCAGAUGUGAACAACUCUAAAAACACAAAUUCUGCCUUUCAUUCUUAUCUGAAGAGUCAGAUAACAUUGAACAAACUGUUUGAAAUACCUUACAUUUACAUGAGUUUAAAAUGAUUUUUGCCUCAUGAACAUUUUAAACAGGAGUUAUGCAAAUUUGUCUGUUAUUAAAACAUAAAACAAGUGA